rnacentral:rRNA from 1 species
UACGUAGGGGGCGAGCGUUGUUCGGAAUUACUGGGCGUAAAGCGCGCGUAGGCGGAUUUGCCAGUCAGGGGUGAAAUGCCAGGGCUUAACCUUGGAACUGCCUUUGAUACUGCAAGUCUGGAGUACGGGAGAGGUGAGUGGAAUUCCGAGUGUAGAGGUGAAAUUCGUAGAUAUUCGGAGGAACACCAGAAGCGAAGGCGGCUCACUGGCCCGAUACUGACGCUGAGGCGCGAAAGCGUGGGGAGCAAACAGG